rnacentral:rRNA from 1 species
GGAAUAUUGGACAAUGGGCGAAAGCCUGAUCCAGCCAUGCCGCGUGUGUGAAGAAGGUCUUCGGAUUGUAAAGCACUUUAAGUUGGGAGGAAGGGUAUUAACCUAAUACGUUAGUACUUUGACGUUACCGACAGAAUAAGCACCGGCUAACUCUGUGCCAGCAGCCGCGGUAAUACAGAGGGUGCAAGCGUUAAUCGGAAUUACUGGGCGUAAAGCGCGCGUAGGUGGUUUGUUAAGUUGAAUGUGAAAUCCCCGGGCUCAACCUGGGAACUGCAUCCAAAACUGGCAAGCUAGAGUAUGGUAGAGGGUAGUGGAAUUUCCUGUGUAGCGGUGAAAUGCGUAGAUAUAGGAAGGAACACCAGUGGCGAAGGCGACUACCUGGACUGAUACUGACACUGAGGUGCGAAAGCGUGGGGAGCAAACAGGAUUAGAUACCCGAG